GGAAGCUUGGCAGAGCGGUUGAAUGCACCGGUCUUGAAAACCGGCGAGGGUGCGAGCUCCGUGAGUUCGAAUCUCACAGCUUCCGCCA
rnacentral:tRNA from 1 species